AUUGAACGCUGGCGGCAUGCCUUACACAUGCAAGUCGAACGGUAACGCGGGGCAACCUGGCGACGAGUGGCGAACGGGUGAGUAACGCAUCGGAACGUGCCCAGUAGUGGGGGAUAGCCCGGCGAAAGCCGGAUUAAUACCGCAUACGACCUACGGGUGAAAGGGGGGGAUCGCAAGACCUCUCGCUAUUGGAGCGGCCGAUGUCAGAUUAGGUAGUUGGUGGGGUAAAGGCCCACCAAGCCUUCGAUCUGUAGCUGGUCUGAGAGGACGACCAGCCACACUGGGACUGAGACACGGCCCAGACUCCUACGGGAGGCAGCAGUGGGGAAUUUUGGACAAUGGGCGCAAGCCUGAUCCAGCCAUGCCGCGUGCGGGAAGAAGGCCUUCGGGUUGUAAACCGCUUUUGUCAGGGAAGAAACGCUCUGGGCUAAUACCCCGGGGUAAUGACGGUACCUGAAGAAUAAGCACCGGCUAACUACGUGCCAGCCGCCGCCGUAA
rnacentral:rRNA from 1 species